rnacentral:rRNA from 1 species
AAAGGAAUAGACGGGGGCCCGCACAAGCAGUGGAGCAUGUGGUUUAAUUCGACGAUACGCGAAGAACCUUACCAGGGUUUGACAUUGAUAUGGCGUAUACAGAGAUGUAUAUUCUCUUCGGAGCAUAUUGACAGGUGCUGCAUGGCUGUCGUCAGCUCGUGCCGUGAGGUGUUGGGUUAAGUCCCGCAACGAGCGCAACCCUUAUUCUCAGUUGCCAUCAGGUAAUGCUGGGCACUCUGUGGAGACUGCCGUCAUAAGGCGGAGGAAGGUGGGGAUGACGUCAAGUCAGCAUGGCCCUUACGUCCUGGGCUACACACGUGCUACAAUGGCCGGUACAAAGGGCAGCGAAGCCGCGAGGCGGAGCGAAUCCCAUAAAGCCGGUCUCAGUUCGGAUUGCAGGCUGCAACUCGCCUGCAUGAAGUCGGAAUUGCUAGUAACCGCAGAUCAGCUACGCUGCGGUGAAUACGUUCCCGGGCCUUGUACACACCGCCCGU